rnacentral:misc_RNA from 1 species
GAAGUAAAAAAGUCGUAACAAGGUUUCCGUAGGUGAACCUGCGGAAGGAUCAUUAAAAAUAUCGCUCGAUUGAGAGUGAUUUAAUAAUCAUCCUACCCUUUGUGAAUUUUUGUUGUAAUAAUUUUUUGAUUUUAAAAAAAAUUAUUUAUGUUUGUCUAUCCCUAAAAUUGGUUUGUUGUGAAAUGAAUCAAAUUUAGGGAAUAGGCUUUCAUAAAUAAGUUUUUUUUAAAGUCUUAAAGACCUUUUUUAAAAUUAAACUUUUGUAUCAUUUGUCUAAAUUUUUUUUAAAUAAUUAAAAACAACUUUUGACAAUGAUCUCUUGGUUCUCGCAACGAUGAAGAACGCAGCCAAAAUGCGAUAAGUAAUGUGAAUCGCAGAAUACGUGAAUCAUCAAAUCUUCGAACGCAUAUUGCACUUUUUUAGUUUACUAAAAAGUAUGUCUGUUUGAGUAUCAGUAAAAUAUCUCAUAAAAACAUUUUUGUUUUAUGGUUAUGAGUGUUUUACAACGAUAAACAAGUUGUUUCACUUUAAAUUCAUUUUAAUUUAAGACUAUUUAUGGUUUUAAUAAAAAAUUGGAUAAAAUUUUCCCGUAAAAAGGAAUAAUUUUCAGUUUUUUAAUUAUUACCAACAACGGUCCGAUUUUAAAAGGAAUUUAUUUAAAUAACUUGAUCUCAAAUCAGAUAAGAGUACCGCUGAACUUAAGCAUAUCAAUAAGCGGAGGAAAAGAAACUAACAAGGAUUCCCUUAGUAACGGCGAGUGAAGCGGAAAGCUCAAAUUUAAAUCUUCAAGGUUCUACCUUGACGAAUUGUAGUUUAAAGAAGUGUUUCUGUUAGAUGAGUAGCAAAAGUUCUUGGAAUGGGACAUCAUAGAGGGUGAGAAUCCCGUAUUUGGUUAUUCAUUCUAGCUUUGUGAUACACUUUCAAAAGAGUCGGAUUGUUUGGGAAUGCAGUCCAAAAUGGGUGGUAAAUUUCAUCUAAAGCUAAAUAUUGGCGAGAGACCGAUAGCGAACAAGUACCGUGAGGGAAAGAUGAAAAGAACUUUGAAAAGAGAGUUAAACAGUACGUGAAAUUGUCAAAAGGGAAGCGUUUUGACACCAGUGUUGUUUUCCGAAAAUCAAUUACGAAUGGCUUGAUUUUGUGUUGUAUUGACCUUAUCAGCUUUCUUCACUUUUUUCGAGUCUUUCUUAAUGCACUUUUCGGUUAACAAUCAACAUCAAUUUCUUUUGUUGUAAAAGAGUAUUCGGAAGGUGGCUUUCUUUACGGAGAAAGUGUUUAUAGCCCUAUACUUCUACAAUCGGAGAGAUUGAGGUCUGCAGCGUAGAUCCUUCGGGUUAGAUACAUUUGUGCUAAGUUGUAGCUUUUCAUAGACAACUUGUUGACUAUGUUUAGUCAUGCGGCUUACUCGCUUAUGCUAUUUUACCUACGCUUAGGAUGUUGAA